rnacentral:rRNA from 1 species
UACGUAGGGGGCAAGCGUUGUCCGGAAUCAUUGGGCGUAAAGCGCGUGUAGGCGGCUCGGUAAGUCUGCUGUGAAAGUCCAGGGCUCAACCCUGGGAUGCCGGUGGAUACUGUCGAGCUCGAGUCCGGAAGAGGCGAGUGGAAUUCCUGGUGUAGCGGUGAAAUGCGCAUAUAUCAGGAGGAACACCAAUGGCGAAGGCAGCUCGCUGGGACGUGACUGACGCUGAGACGCGAAAGCGUAGGGAGCGAACAGG